rnacentral:lncRNA from 1 species
ACUACAACAUUUUAGGGCUUUUGCGACGCUUUGUAUUCCCGACGGUUUCAAAACCGUUGUAUAAAGUGUGUUUCUUGACGCUUUUCAAACUAAUCUUGAAACAUAAACACAGUCAAGUAAAAGUAAUUCUCGAUGCUUAUAAAAAUGUUCUCAGACGCUUAAAAACCGUCAACAAAAAUAAAUUAUAUAAUAUAUAAAUUAUCAAUCUCUAACGUUACUAACAUCACUUUUUUCUCUCAAUCUUUCAUUUAUAAUCAGACCGAUACAAUCUCCCUCGAACCUUCGAUUAGGGAUUUUCUCCGAAGAAUAAUAAACUUCUCUUCGACGGCGUACCUCCGCCGCCGCGUCCGCGAUUGCCGCUAAUGCCGAGCCGACAUCUCCGUUGCUAUUUCUUCCCUCAUGAUCGAACUAAUCAUUGUGAAGACAAAUUGAACUUUACAUACAAUGGUCUAAUUAUAGCACAUGGUAUAGUAUGGUGACUUCUCCUUUUUAAGAAUCCCUUUUCUGUCUCC